UACGUAGGGGGCAAGCGUUGUCCGGAAUCAUUGGGCGUAAAGCGCGUGUAGGCGGUCCGGUAAGUCCGCUGUGAAAGUCGGGGGCUUAACCCUCGGAUGCCGGUGGAUACUGUCGGGCUUGAGUACGGAAGAGGCGAGUGGAAUUCCUGGUGUAGCGGUGAAAUGCGCAGAUAUCAGGAGGAACACCGGUGGCGAAGGCGGGACUCUGGGCCGAUACCGACGCUGAGGAGCGAAAGCGUGGGGAGCAAACAGG
rnacentral:rRNA from 1 species